rnacentral:rRNA from 1 species
GGAUAGCCACUGGAAAUGGUGGGUAAUACCGUAUAAUCCCUGCGGGGGAAAGAUUUAUCGCUAUUAGAUGAGCCUAUGUCGGAUUAGCUAGUUGGUGGGGUAAUGGCCUACCAAGGCAGUGAUCUGUAGCUGGUCUGAGAGGAUGAUCAGCCACACUGGAACUGAGACACGGUCCAGACUCCUACGGGAGGCAGCAGUGGGGAAUAUUGGACAAUGGGCGCAAGCCUGAUCCAGCUAUGCCGCGUGAGUGAGGAAGGCCUUAGGGUUGUAAAACUCUUUCAGUAGGGAAGAUAAUG